rnacentral:rRNA from 1 species
CACGGGGGGAGCAAGCGUUGUUCGGAAUCACUGGGCGUAAAGGGCGUGUAGGCGGUCAGGUUAGUGGGACGUGAAAUGCCCCGGCUCACCCGGGGACCUGCGUCCCAAACUGCCUGGCUUGAGUAUGGGAGAGGAUGUGGGAAUUCCUGGUGUAGCGGUGAAAUGCGUAGAUAUCAGGAGGAACACCGGUGGCGAAGGCGCACAUCUGGCCCAAUACUGACGCUGAGGCGCGAAAGCGUGGGGAGCAAACAGG